CAUUAAGUGACUGAAAGUAAGUGAUGGUCUCUUAAACCAAAAAAUAGUAAUUAACAAAUACUCUUAAUG
rnacentral:tRNA from 1 species